UACGGAGGGUGCGAGCGUUGUCCGGAAUUACUGGGCGUAAAGGGCGUGUAGGCGGCCUGCUAAGUCGAACGUGAAAUCCCCGGGCUCAACCCGGGAACUGCGUCCGAUACUGGCAGGCUUGAAUUCGGGAGAGGGAUGUGGAAUUCCAGGUGUAGCGGUGAAAUGCGUAGAUAUCUGGAGGAACACCGGUGGCGAAGGCGGCAUCCUGGACCGAGAUUGACGCUGAUGCGCGAAAGCUAGGGGAGCGAACGGG
rnacentral:rRNA from 1 species